ACGACGACACGAUCACAGCACGAAAGAAAACGAUGACCGAGGGCGAUUCGAGAGAGAAAAAGAAAAAGAAAAAGAGAUGGAAAGAAAAGAAAAGAAAUGAAAAUAAUAGAAUAGAAAAGAAAACGAGACAGUCGUUUUACGUCGAAAUUCACGUCGUAUCACGUCAAGAUUCUUAAAGGAAUAGAAAAGAAAGAAAGAAAGAAAGAAAGAA